GAUGAACGCUAGCUACAGGCUUAACACAUGCAAGUCGAGGGGUAACGAGAGGAAAGCUUGCUUUCCUUGUCGACGACCGGCGCACGGGUGAGUAACGCGUAUCCAACCUGCCCCCAACUAGGGAAUAACCUUGCGAAAGUAAGACUAAUACCCUAUAAUUUCCUCAGAUGACAUCUGACGAGGAAUAAAGAUUUAUCGGUUGUGGAUGGGGAUGCGUCUGAUUAGCUUGUUGGCGGGGUAACGGCCCACCAAGGCAACGAUCAGUAGGGGUUCUGGGAAGAAGGUCCCCCACAUUGGAACUGAGACACGGUCCAAACUCCUACGGGAGGCAGCAGUGAGGAAUAUUGGUCAAUGUGCGGAAGCCUGAACCAGCCAAGUAGCGUGCAGGAUGACGGGCCUAUGGGUUGUAAACUGCUUUUAUACAGGAAUAAAGUUAGCCACGUGUGGUUAUUUGUAGGUACUGUAUGAAUAAGGACCGGCUAAUUCCGUGCCAGCAGCCGCGGUAAGAC
rnacentral:rRNA from 1 species